rnacentral:tRNA from 1 species
GUCCCCAUAGCUCAAUGGAUAGAGCACCUGCCUUCUAAGCAGGGAAUCCAGGUUCGAUUCCUGGUGGGGACA